UUAAGUUAUUAAGGGCGCACGGUGGAUGCCUUGGCACUAGAAGCCGAUGAAGGACGUUACUAACGACGAUAUGCUUUGGGGAGCUGUAAGUAAGCUUUGAUCCAGAGAUUUCCGAAUGGGGAAACCCAGCAUGAGUUAUGUCAUGUUAUCGAUAUGUGAAUACAUAGCAUAUCAGAAGGCACACCCGGAGAACUGAAACAUCUUAGUACCCGGAGGAAGAGAAAGAAAAUUCGAUUCCCUUAGUAGCGGCGAGCGAAACGGGAAGAGCCCAAACCAACAAGCUUGCUUGUUGGGGUUGUAGGACACUCUAUACGGAGUUACAAAGGACGACAUUAGACGAAUCAUCUGGAAAGAUGAAUCAAAGAAGGUAAUAAUCCUGUAGUCGAAAAUGUUGUCUCUCUUGAGUGGAUCCUGAGUACGACGGAGCACGUGAAAUUCCGUCGGAAUCUGGGAGGACCAUCUCCUAAGGCUAAAUACUCUCUAGUGACCGAUAGUGAACCAGUACCGUGAGGGAAAGGUGAAAAGCACCCCGGAAGGGGAGUGAAAUAGAACCUGAAACCGUGUGCUUACAAGUAGUCAGAGCCCGUUAAUGGGUGAUGGCGUGCCUUUUGUAGAAUGAACCGGCGAGUUACGAUUUGAUGCAAGGUUAAGCAGCAAAUGUGGAGCCGUAGCGAAAGCGAGUCUGAAUAGGGCGUUUAGUAUUUGGUCGUAGACCCGAAACCAGGUGAUCUACCCUUGGUCAGGUUGAAGUUCAGGUAACACUGAAUGGAGGACCGAACCGACUUACGUUGAAAAGUGAGCGGAUGAACUGAGGGUAGCGGAGAAAUUCCAAUCGAACCUGGAGAUAGCUGGUUCUCUCCGAAAUAGCUUUAGGGCUAGCCUCAAGUGAUGAUUAUUGGAGGUAGAGCACUGUUUGGACGAGGGGCCCCUCUCGGGUUACCGAAUUCAGACAAACUCCGAAUGCCAAUUAAUUUAACUUGGGAGUCAGAACAUGGGUGAUAAGGUCCGUGUUCGAAAGGGAAACAGCCCAGACCACCAGCUAAGGUCCCAAAAUAUAUGUUAAGUGGAAAAGGAUGUGGCGUUGCCCAGACAACUAGGAUGUUGGCUUAGAAGCAGCCAUCAUUUAAAGAGUGCGUAAUAGCUCACUAGUCGAGUGACACUGCGCCGAAAAUGUACCGGGGCUAAACAUAUUACCGAAGCUGUGGAUUGUCCUUUGGACAAUGGUAGGAGAGCGUUCUAAGGGCGUUGAAGCAUGAUCGUAAGGACAUGUGGAGCGCUUAGAAGUGAGAAUGCCGGUGUGAGUAGCGAAAGACGGGUGAGAAUCCCGUCCACCGAUUGACUAAGGUUUCCAGAGGAAGGCUCGUCCGCUCUGGGUUAGUCGGGUCCUAAGCUGAGGCCGACAGGCGUAGGCGAUGGAUAACAGGUUGAUAUUCCUGUACCACCUAUAAUCGUUUUAAUCGAUGGGGGGACGCAGUAGGAUAGGCGAAGCGUGCGAUUGGAUUGCACGUCUAAGCAGUAAGGCUGAGUAUUAGGCAAAUCCGGUACUCGUUAAGGCUGAGCUGUGAUGGGGAGAAGACAUUGAGUCUUCGAGUCGUUGAUUUCACACUGCCGAGAAAAGCCUCUAGAUAGAAAAUAGGUGCCCGUACCGCAAACCGACACAGGUAGUCAAGAUGAGAAUUCUAAGGUGAGCGAGCGAACUCUCGUUAAGGAACUCGGCAAAAUGACCCCGUAACUUCGGGAGAAGGGGUGCUCUUUAGGGUUAACGCCCAGAAGAGCCGCAGUGAAUAGGCCCAAGCGACUGUUUAUCAAAAACACAGGUCUCUGCUAAACCGUAAGGUGAUGUAUAGGGGCUGACGCCUGCCCGGUGCUGGAAGGUUAAGAGGAGUGGUUAGCUUCUGCGAAGCUACGAAUCGAAGCCCCAGUAAACGGCGGCCGUAACUAUAACGGUCCUAAGGUAGCGAAAUUCCUUGUCGGGUAAGUUCCGACCCGCACGAAAGGCGUAACGAUUUGGGCACUGUCUCAACGAGAGACUCGGUGAAAUCAUAGUACCUGUGAAGAUGCAGGUUACCCGCGACAGGACGGAAAGACCCCGUGGAGCUUUACUGUAGCCUGAUAUUGAAAUUCGGCACAGCUUGUACAGGAUAGGUAGGAGCCUUUGAAACGUGAGCGCUAGCUUACGUGGAGGCGCUGGUGGGAUACUACCCUAGCUGUGUUGGCUUUCUAACCCGCACCACUUAUCGUGGUGGGAGACAGUGUCAAGCGGGCAGUUUGACUGGGGCGGUCGCCUCCUAAAAGGUAACGGAGGCGCUCAAAGGUUCCCUCAGAAUGGUUGGAAAUCAUUCAUAGAGUGUAAAGGCAUAAGGGAGCUUGACUGCGAGACCUACAAGUCGAGCAGGGUCGAAAGACGGACUUAGUGAUCCGGUGGUUCCGCAUGGAAGGGCCAUCGCUCAACGGAUAAAAGCUACCCCGGGGAUAACAGGCUUAUCUCCCCCAAGAGUUCACAUCGACGGGGAGGUUUGGCACCUCGAUGUCGGCUCAUCGCAUCCUGGGGCUGUAGUCGGUCCCAAGGGUUGGGCUGUUCGCCCAUUAAAGCGGUACGCGAGCUGGGUUCAGAACGUCGUGAGACAGUUCGGUCCCUAUCCGUCGUGGGCGUAGGAAAUUUGAGAGGAGCUGUCCUUAGUACGAGAGGACCGGGAUGGACAUACCUCUGGUGUACCAGUUGUCGUGCCAACGGCAUAGCUGGGUAGCUAUGUGUGGACGGGAUAAGUGCUGAAAGCAUCUAAGCAUGAAGCCCCCCUCAAGAUGAGAUUUCCCAACUUCGGUUAUAAGAUCCCUCAAAGAUGAUGAGGUUAAUAGGUUCGAGGUGGAAGCAUGGUGACAUGUGGAGCUGACGAAUACUAAUCGAUCGAAGACUUAAUCAA
rnacentral:rRNA from 1 species